rnacentral:misc_RNA from 1 species
GUGCUCUCACCAUUGUUGACAGCACCUAAACCAGCCUCAACAGCAGUUUCAACAACUUCCAGACCACCACCAGCAGGUUUAACAUUAUCCACAGCACGCAGAUCAGGGUAAUUACGAUGGUUCAGGGAAUGCAGCCAUACAGCCAUUGUCCCUUCCUUUUGUUCUGUCGAUGCAAUAUGACUAUAGAUAUACUUCACUUUGAAUUCUUCUGCUUCCUCUAAAUAAGCUUUCAGAGACACUUCUUCAUGAGUGUCCUUCCACUUACUGUUAUAUGAGGUGAAAAAGCAUUCGUCCAAAUACAAACCAACCUCAGGCGCCAUGGGAACAUUGAUGUUGACAUCCCUUCGGAAGGCAGUUACAAUUAACGAUUCAGGAGCACAGUUUCUCAUGAUAGCUACAGCAAGACCAAUCAUUUUACGGAUUUGAUGAAGCAUGAAGCUCUGACCAAUAACCUCACACUUCACAAAAUCAAUGCCAUCAACAUUCACUACAGUAUUUGCAUUAAAGGAAAUGAUAAAUCGCUUGGCAGCAGGGUCAUCAGCUUUUGUUCUAGUUGUGAAAUUGUGAAAAUUAUGAGUUCCUUCAAAAUACUUCAAAAUUCUGUUAAAUCUCUCUUUUUCUUUCUCUCCAUAGCAAAACACACUCUCUUCCACUUGUUCUUCCUUUUUAGCAUUUUCGUCACUUCUCUCUACUACAUCAAUCCUUUCUUCAACCUUCUCACUUAAAGAAGCUUCAUUUUCAAUUAUCAUAUUUGUAUCAGUAGUCGGAUCAUUUGCAGUAACUACUGGUGCAUCAACAAUAAUAACUGACUGAGUUAUUGGAUCGAAA